UAUAUUGUGAUGGAAUACUGUGAUGGAGGGGAUCUAAUGCAAAAGAUUAAACAGCAGAAAGGAAAGUUAUUUCCUGAAGACAUAUACUUAAUUGGUUUACCCAAAUGUGCCUUGGAGUAAAUCACAUUCACAAGAAACGUGUGCUACACAGAGAUAUCAAGUCCAAAAUAUCUUCCUCACUCAGAAUGGAAAAGUGAAAUUGGGAGACUUUGGAUCUGCCCGUCUUCUCUCCAUCCGAUGGCAUUUGCUUGUACCUAUGUGGGAACUCCUUAUUAUGUGCCUCCAGAAAUUUGGGAAAACCUGCCUUAUAACAAUAAAAGGUGAGUGCUGCAUAUUUGA
rnacentral:lncRNA from 1 species